AAACAACUGGAUUUGAACACUUGCUGCUGAUUUUUAGUUUUUAAAAUAUUCACAAUGCUAAAUAAUUCUCAUUUUGCUGGUUUCUGCUUAGAGAUGAUGCUGUGUUCUUUUCAGUUCCAAACAACAGUAGUGCAUCCCCUGAGAGGGUGUAGAUCCCAGUCUGAGCAGGACGCCUACCCUUGAGGGCACAAUGCGAGUACACAAAAUAUGAACAGCAUUUUACUUCCAAAGCACACCCUUCAAAUCACUAAGUGUGUACAAUGAUUUAAUUCUUUGCUUUAAAAACACAUUCUUUUCUGUACUGGAAAUCAUCUCCACUUACAGGGAAUAGUUUUCCAUUGUUACCACUCCAUGCGCUACAAUUUUCCUCUAUUAUUAUUCAUAGAAGCUCAGGACAACUGAAGUCUACCACUUCUACAACAAUGCUGGCUGGGUCAAACCAGACUUUCUCCUCGUUAUUCAAAAGUAAACCAGCAACCUAUGAUACAGGCUGCGUUAACAAUAGAGAUCAGUAUAUUACUUUAAGGACAUAUACAUUGGUUUAGCAAAAGGAAUCAGUGAGUUGUAGUUCUAAAACUUUCUACUCUAACUUUGCUUGGUGCAUGAUCAGCCUUGUUUUUCCAGCUUCACAAAAGCACUGAAGUCACAAUAGAAUACUUUUUAUCUUUCCAUCCAGCAGGUUCAAGGACUUUUUUUUUGGAUUUCACUUUUAUUGUUUUGAGUUACAGUACACUAGGAUAGAAAAUUGCUCAUUAUGGCCUAACAAGCUAUGGAAAUUUGCCAACUUGUGGAAAAAAACAGCUGAAGGUUGGACAAAAGUCACUGUGAUGAAGCUGUUGAUGGAAAAAUGAGAAGGAAAGAAGAAUGGAUUUGGAGGAAACCUUGAAGAAGCACUGACUUCUUGUCAGAAGGAAGGCCUAUACUAUAAAGAGAAGGUGGAAGGAAACACUUCCCCUAUGGAUAUCUCCCUUUGAAGUCCAUUGUUCAUAUCUGGUCUCCUUGAUAAAAGCUAUAAUUUUUAAUGUCCUGUAACACAUUUCCUUUCUAAACAUAUUUAUUGAUAAUUGCAGGCUUCACUCAUUACUUACGACAGCUCAAAAAUGGAUGACCUACAAUAAAAUGGCAAAUUUACAAGA